rnacentral:rRNA from 1 species
AUUGAACGCUGGCGGCAGGCCUAACACAUGCAAGUCGAACGAGUGGCGGACGGGUGAGUAAUGUCUGGGAAACUGCCCGAUGGAGGGGGAUAACUACUGGAAACGGUAGCUAAUACCGCAUACCAUCGGAUGUGCCCAGAUGGGAUUAGCUCGUAGGUGGGGAAACGCCUCACCUAGGCGUCGAUCCCUAGCUGGUCUGAGAGGAUGACCAUCCACACUGGAACUGAGACACGGUCCAGACUCCUACGGUAGGCAGCAGUGUGGAAUAUUGCACAAUGGGCGCAAGCCUGCUGCAGCCAUGCCGCGUGUAUGAAGCAGGCCUUCGGGUUUUAAAGUACUUUCAGCGAGGAGGCGUUACUCGCAGAAGAAGCACCGGCUAACUCCGUGCCAGCAGCCGCGGUAAUAC